AGUGAACGCUGGCGGUAGGCCUAACACAUGCAAGUCGAACGGCAGCACAGUAAGAGCUUGCUCUUACGGGUGGCGAGUGGCGGACGGGUGAGGAAUACAUCGGAAUCUACUUUUUCGUGGGGGAUAACGUAGGGAAACUUACGCUAAUACCGCAUACGACCUACGGGUGAAAGCAGGGGAUCUUCGGACCUUGCGCGAUUGAAUGAGCCGAUGUCGGAUUAGCUAGUUGGCGGGGUAAAGGCCCACCAAGGCGACGAUCCGUAGCUGGUCUGAGAGGAUGAUCAGCCACAUUGGAGCUGAGACACGGUCCAGAGUCCUACGAGAGGCAGCAGUGGGGAAUAUUGGACAAUGGGCGCAAGCCUGAUCCAGCCAUACCGCGUGUGUGAAGAAGGCCUUGGGGUUGUAAAGCCCUUUUGUUGGGAAAGAAAAGCAGCAGGUUAAUACCCCGCUGUUCUGACGGUACACAAAGAAUAAGCACCGGCUAACUUCGUG
rnacentral:rRNA from 1 species